UACGUAGGUGGCAAGCGUUAUCCGGAUUUAUUGGGCGUAAAGGGAACGCAGGCGGUCUUUUAAGUCUGAUGUGAAAGCCUUCGGCUUAACCGGAGUAGUGCAUUGGAAACUGGGAGACUUGAGUGCAGCAGAGGAGAGUGGAACUCCAUGUGUAGCGGUGAAAUGCGUAGAUAUAUGGAAGAACACCAGUGGCGAAAGCGGCUCUCUGGUCUGUAACUGACGCUGAGGUUCGAAAGCGUGGGUAGCAAACAGG
rnacentral:rRNA from 1 species